GACGAACCGUCCGAACGUUAUUCGGAAUCACUGGGCUUAAAGGGCGCGUAGGCGGGCUGUCAAGUCUGGGGUGAAAUCCCACGGCUCAACCGUGGAACUGCCUUAGAUACUGACGGCCUCGAGGGAGAUAGGGGCGAGCGGAACUGUGAGUGGAGCGGUGAAAUGCGUUGAUAUUCACAGGAACUCCGGUGGCGAAGGCGGCUCGCUGGAUCUUUUCUGACGCUGAGGCGCGAAAGCUUGGGGAGCAAACGGG
rnacentral:rRNA from 1 species